rnacentral:rRNA from 1 species
GCGGGAAGAGCUCAAAUUUAUAAUCUGGCACCUUCGGUGUCCGAGUUGUAAUCUCUAGAAAUGUUUUCCGCGUUGGACCGCACACAAGUCUGUUGGAAUACAGCGGCAUAGUGGUGAGACCCCCGUAUAUGGUGCGGACGCCCAGCGCUUUGUGAUACAUUUUCGAAGAGUCGAGUUGUUUGGGAAUGCAGCUCAAAUUGGGUGGUAAAUUCCAUCUAAAGCUAAAUAUUGGCGAGAGACCGAUAGCGAACAAGUACCGUGAGGGAAAGAUGAAAAGCACUUUGGAAAGAGAGUUAACAGUACGUGAAAUUGUUGGAAGGGAAACGCUUGAAGUCAGACUUGCUUGCCGAGCAAUCGGUUUGCAGGCCAGCAUCAGUUUUCCGGGAUGGAUAAUGGUAGAGAGAAGGUAGCAGUUUCGGCUGUGUUAUAGCUCUCUGCUGGAUACAUCUUGGGGGACUGAGGAACGCAGUGUGCCUUUGGCGGGGGUUUCGACCUCUUCACACUUAGGAUGCUGGUGGAAUGGCUUUAAACGACCCGUCUU